UGGGGAAUUUUGGACAAUGGGCGCAAGCCUGAUCCAGCAAUGCCGCGUGCAGGAAGAAGGCCUUCGGGUUGUAAACUGCUUUUGUACGGAACGAAACGGUCUGGAUUAAUACUCCGGGCUAAUGACGGUACCGUAAGAAUAAGCACCGGCUAACUACGUGCCAGCAGCCGCGGUAAUACGUAGGGUGCAAGCGUUAAUCGGAAUUACUGGGCGUAAAGCGUGCGCAGGCGGUUAUAUAAGACAGAUGUGAAAUCCCCGGGCUCAACCUGGGACCUGCAUUUGUGACUGUAUAGCUAGAGUACGGUAGAGGGGGAUGGAAUUCCGCGUGUAGCAGUGAAAUGCGUAGAUAUGCGGAGGAACACCGAUGGCGAAGGCAAUCCCCUGGACCUGUACUGACGCUCAUGCACGAAAGCGUGGGGAGCAAACAGGAUUAGAUACCCUGGUAGUCCACGCCCUAAACGAUGUCAACUGGUUGUUGGGUCUUCACUGACUCAGUAACGAAGCUAACGCGUGAAGUUGACCGCCUGGGGAGUACGGCCGCAAGGUG
rnacentral:rRNA from 1 species